UAAUUCCCAAAUUGAAAAUCAGAAACCCUAACCUAAUUUCCUCCAACCCUCAGCAGCUGCCAGCCACACUUCCUUACCCCAACGGUCACACAACGCAGAUCAGAGAAAGAGAUUUGCGGGAAGAAGAGAAAGAAGACGCCGCUGCUGUCGCGCUUGACUGCCGCUGCCGUCAUCCUCAUCGUGCACCGCCACCGUCCAGCAGGUCGUCACGCCGAGCCCGUUCCACCACCGUCAACACUGCCACGGAGAAGAGAAGACGACGUCGUAACGCGAGCCAAGGCCGAGAGGAAUGGGACGUCACUGUGCCUCCAACGCGACCGAUCCGCCGCUGCCACUGGUAGGGUUUUGUCGCCGCCGUCCAUGGAGCUUCGAUUAGCGCCACUGUCAUCGCAUACCAGAGGAGAGGGGAGCUCGUGUGUGAAGAGUAGCGCCGCUGUGCCUCCGUCGUGCCUUCAUCACCAUCGAACUGUCUUGCUGUUGCUAGCCUCAUAGCUACUUCUGAGGCUGCACUGCCGUGCCGCUGGUCAUGGGUGGAGUCCACUCCAAGCUGUCACCAUCGCAGAAUACACGCAGAUGAGAGGGAGAAAGGACCUCCGCCACUGUCAGGGUCGUUGGUGAGUCGUGCACUGUCACCAGAGUUUAAAACAGCACCAGCCUUCGUGUUUUGGUUCUGAUUCUCCUAUUCUUGAACCUAUAAGCUUUAAUCCUUACUCUGCUUCCAUUUUAUUUCUUAGUCUUCUCUGUUAUGAGUAAGGAAAACCUAUGUCUCUGUUUAACGCUGCUGCUAUGCCUUUCCUGUUUGCUAAUGAAACUAUCAAAGGUGAUAGUGUUGGUGAUAAUAAAGAACUGUAAGAGUUGCUGCUGCUGCUGCUGUUGCUAGCUUGGUUCGAGUCAGUUGCUGCUACGAAUUAAGAUGAAAGAGGGGUUGGCUACGCUUAAUUAUCAAAUUUCGGCUAAUCGAGUGACACAGGUUUGAAGAUGCAAUUUGAAGCUGCAAGCGAUUAGUAGGUUUUCUUUAUGGUUUUAAUUGCUUUCAUAGAGUCCCUUCGCUCUUGUCGUUUGAGGUUUUAUUUUAACAGAGGGGUAGGUGUUGUAUUUGGGUUUAUAUGACUUCUUAUGUAUAAGAAUUACUAUUAAUAAUACUAUGUGAUUGUUAUUAUUAUUUGUAAAUGUUUGAAUUAUGA